AACGAACGCUGGCGGCAGGCUUAACACAUGCAAGUCGAGCGCCUCGCAAGGGGAGCGGCAGACGGGUGAGUAACGCGUGGGAACAUGCCCAAAGGUACGGAACAACUCCGGGAAACUGGAGCUAAUACCGUAUGUGACCGAGAGGUGAAAGAUUUAUCGCCUUUGGAUUGGCCCGCGUUGGAUUAGCUAGUUGGUGGGGUAAAGGCCUACCAAGGCGACGAUCCAUAGCUGGUCUGAGAGGAUGAUCAGCCACACUGGGACUGAGACACGGCCCAGACUCCUACGGGAGGCAGCAGUGGGGAAUAUUGGACAAUGGGCGCGAGCCUGAUCCAGCCAUGCCGCGUGUGUGAUGAAGGCCUUAGGGUUGUAAAAUUCUUUUACCAGGGACGAUAAUGACGGUACCUGGAGAAAAAGCCCCGGCUAACUUCGUGCCAGCAGCCGCGGUAAGAC
rnacentral:rRNA from 1 species